GUGCCAGCAGCCGCGGUAAUACAGAGGUCCCGAGCGUUGUUCGGAUUCACUGGGCGUAAAGGGUGCGUAGGUGGUGGGGUAAGUCUCGUGUGAAAGCUCGCAGCUUAACUGCGAAAAGUCACGGGAUACUAUUCCGCUGGAGGCUUGGAGGGGGGACUGGAAUACUUGGUGUAGCAGUGAAAUGCGUAGAUAUCAAGUGGAACACCAGUGGCGAAGGCGAGUCCCUGGACAAGACCUGACACUGAGGCACGAAAGCCAGGGGAGCAAACAGGAUUAGAUACCCCCGUAGUCC
rnacentral:rRNA from 1 species